AGGUGCUUGGUAGGACAGAGGGCCUCUGAAUACCUCUGCACCCCAGCGCCCCUCCACACCCCAGGACUUCAGUCUGGACUUCAGCUCGAUGCAUUUGCCAGAGGGGUCUCAGACCAGGCAAUGGGACUCUACCCUGUGCCUUAUUCCAACCAGCUGCUGGAGGGAUUGGCCGUGUGCCAGCCACCUCCCAAGGAGCCAUGAGAGGAUUCCAGGGCUGGGUAGGCCCUGGGCUCAUCUUCUUGGGAAGCUGGAUGCCAGCCUCAUAAACAAGCAUGUGACCCAACAUCUACAACCCUCCCCCACAUCAAGGACAGACUCUCCUGCCCUGAGGUACACUGUGACCUCAAGGCGCAAGGAGCCUGUGACUCUGGAGCUGAGGAGCCUGGGAUGGCCAACCUGUCCACAGGGACUCCUGGGAAUGACGUGCUGCUUUAGCCCCUGAGAAAGCCUCCCUGGCCCUCCUCCCCAGACCAAUACAACACAUUCCUGAUUUAGCGGGAGGAAAUCCCACCAACACCAUGAGCGCGUCCUGCCAUGGGGGAUGUAUUGCUGUUCUUUCUGCAUGCAGUGCCCUUUCCUCAGACGUCACAUCUUUGGGCCUUUACCCAGCUUCCCACGUGGCUAUUUUAUUUCUGGCACGUUGACCCAUGAGGCUACACUGAUGGUGCUGAUGGCCCCAGCUAAGCAGCCCUCCUUUGCCCUGUGCCCUGUAACUUUGUAGGAGCCUCCCACUCUGACUACAGGCAUGACCCUCUGAUGACUGGCCAGGCAGGCAGGAACAAACUCAGUCCAAGGAGAGGCUUGAAAAAAAUGCUUGCGGCAUCCCCUCUCCUCUCCUCCAAACUUCUAGAACUGUGUGAGCGCAGCUGGGCCGUCCUGCUGAAGGACAGGACCCCAGGGGCCAAGCUGGGACCAUGCAAGACAGGCUGCCACAGGCUGGACACGAGGGAGAGCAGCAAGAGCAGCCAAGCUGGGCUCAGAUGGGAAGAGUCGCCCAGGCAGCUGGCAGGCGGACCUGAGCCAGAAGCCCAGCCAACAAAAACAAGAAGUAGUGACAAACUCUUUUGGAGGAAGAGGACCGUCAGCAGCUGUAACCCCAGCUCCAUGGCUCCUGCCAUUAGCAUGAAGAGCCGGAAUGUCCCCAAAGCCCCUAUCGUGCCCAGAGUUCUUAGUGCUGGAACUCAUAGCUGCCCUCUCUACCCUGACCUUCCUCUUAAUAACCAAGCUUCUUGAAGGAGUUGUUCACACUAAUUGUUCCACUUCCUCAGUUCCAUGCAGCUGUUCUUGCACCUGGCACUCUCACCAAGCCUCAGGGAUCGCCCUACCCCUGCCCUUCGAGAUGCCACACCCCAAAAUUAGUCUGUGCCCCUCACAGGGCAGGGCUGUAAUGGGCCCCAAGUGCGUGUGCUGGGCUGGACACCCAGCAGUCCUGCUGACCUUGUGGCCAGGUCUGAAAUCCUGCCAGCUGUGGGCCAUCAGAAACAGGGGUGAGGCCUGGGAAGUCUCAGGGUAACUCCCCUGCAACCCUUGCACCCUAGUGUGUGCCACCCAGGACUCCCACCCAGAGCACCUGGCCUCACUGCUGCUGGCUUUGUGUCUAUCAAAAACUCUUCUUAUUACAAAUCUCUUUAUCAUGAAA